AUAAAAAUUUCUUAAACGUCCUGGCACAACCAUCGAUGCCACAAACAACAUGAAAAUUUGGUUCAUCACGAUGAACACGGCCAAUAUGUGUUAUUAGUAAUUGAAGAGAAUCUGAAACGAAUUCUAGGCAAAUAUUACAUCGAUAUAGACGCUCCAUGACAUAAUUCACUUCAAGAAUACAAUUCACUUCUGAAGAGAGUGCCGGCUCAACUCUGUUACCAUAUAUGGUGUGAAAUGUGAUAUUAGCGACUAUAUGCAAAACGCGCGUUGUCAACUAAACGUAAAAGUCAAUAUUACCAGGCUUAAAGAGCCAUUGGAUUUAAGUUAUUUGGUUUCGACGAUCUCCCUU